CUAAGGGUGGCAAAGGCCAACGAAUAUAAACAGGUUUACCGUCUAGUACACAUCGCCAAUGAGAAACGCACUGAAGAGCUCAAAGUUGCAGUUGGAUUUUAAAACUUUAACAAGACUGUCACAUCCGCGUACGAAGUGCUCAAGGUGACCAACGACAAGUGUUGAAGAAAGAAA